rnacentral:rRNA from 1 species
AUUGAACGCUGGCGGCAUGCCUAACACAUGCAAGUCGAACGAGUGGCGGACGGGUGAGUAAUGUGUGGGAAACUGCCCGAUGGAGGGGGAUAACUCCUGGAAACGGUAGCUAAUACCGCAUACCAUCGGAUGUGCCCAGAUAGGAUUAGCUUGUAGGUGAGGUAACGGCUAACCUAGGCGACGAUCCCUAGCUGGUUGGAGAGGCUGACCAGCAACAUGUGAACGGAGACACGGUCCAGACUCCUACGGGAGGCAGCAGUGGGGAAGAUUGCACAAUGGGCGAAAGCCGGAUGCAGCCAUGCGGCGGGGAUGAAGAAGGCCUUCGAGUUGUAAAGUACUUUCAGCGGGGAGGCGUUACCCGAAGAAGAAGCACCGGCUAACUCCGUGCCAGCAGCCGCGGUAAUUC